rnacentral:rRNA from 1 species
UACGAAGGGGGCUAGCGUUGUUCGGAAUUACUGGGCGUAAAGCGUGCGCAGGCGGUCCGUUAAGACAGAUGUGAAAUCCCCGAGCUCAACUUGGGAACUGCGUUUGAAACUACAGGACUAGAAUAUGUCAGAGGGGGGUAGAAUUCCACGUGUAGCAGUGAAAUGCGUAGAGAUGUGGAGGAAUACCAAUGGCGAAGGCAGCCCCCUGGGAUAAUAUUGGACGCUCAUG